rnacentral:rRNA from 1 species
AGUAAUACAUCGGAACGUAUCCCGUAGAGGGGGAUAGCUCGGCGAAAGCCGGAUUAAUACCGCAUAUGCUCUACGGAGGAAAGCAGGGGACCCGCAAGGGCCUUGCGCUAUGGGAGCGGCCGAUGUCCGAUUAGCUUGUUGGUGGGGUAAAGGCUUACCAAGGCGACGAUCGGUAGCUGGUCUGAGAGGAUGAUCAGCCACACUGGGACUGAGACACGGCCCAG